UGAGCUAACCAGUACUAAUGAACCGUGAGGCUUAACCUGACAACACCGAAGGUGUU
rnacentral:rRNA from 1 species